GUGUUUGGUGUUUGGUGUUCCAUGAAAAAUCUUAUAAAAAUUUAUCAAACAAAACUAUUUAGAUGAAUGAAAAAAGUAUGAAGAUGAAAUUUUCAUAAUUCUAUACGCACCUUACAUGUAUUUCAGUGAAAGAUUGAAUAUGUCAAACAACAUUUUUAAACCAAACUGUGGUUUGGGUCCUGUCUGUGUUGUUAUUUCACCUAAUUAAUAUCAAAAUGUUUUUAUUGCAAUCAAAUCUUCUCAACUUAUGUUUGUCCUCACAGAGCCCUUAAGCAUUUCAAAAGAUAAUCCUUUAAUGACACAUUUAUUAUAUUCCUUUGAAAUCCCUUAAUGAUGUCUUAAUGAUUAAGUGAUCAAUGUAAGAAACAAAAUUAUGAUAAUUUA
rnacentral:lncRNA from 1 species